rfam:Arabis alpina cultivar Pajares chromosome 8, whole genome shotgun sequence.
AAUCCAUGAUGUGGACAAUAUCUUUGAUACUCUUUAAAACGUUCCUAAGCCUUGUGAAAACUUUCAAGAGAUAUUUACUGAUUUCCCUCUAUCUUCUUCCUUAAAAAAAUAUAGUGAGAUU